rnacentral:rRNA from 1 species
UACAUGGGGUGCAAACGUUGCUCGGAAUUAUUGGGCGUAAAGCGCACGUAGGCGGUUCGUUAAGUCGGAUGUGAAAGCCCUCGGCUCAACUGAGGAAGUGCACCCGAAACUGGCGAGCUUGAGUAGCGAAAGAGGAUCGCGGAAUUCCCGGUGUAGAGGUGAAAUUCGUAGAUAGUCGGGAGGAACGACCGGGUGGCGAAGGCGGCGAUCUGGGUCGAUACUGACGCGUGAGGUGCGAAAGCGUGGGGAGCAAACAGG